rnacentral:rRNA from 1 species
UGACACAUGCAAGUCGGACGGCAGCACAAAGAAGCUUGCUUCCUUGGGUUGGCGAGUGGCGCCACGGGUGAGUAACGCAUCGGAACGUACCGAGUAGUGGGGGAUAACUGUCCGAAAGGAUGGCUAAUACCGCAUACGCUUUGAGAAGGCAAAGCGGGGGAUCUUCGGACCUCGCGCUAUUCGAGCGGCCGAUGUCUGAUUAGCUGGUUGGUGGGGUAAAGGCCUACCAAGGCGACGAUCAGUAGCGGGUCUAGAGAGGAUGAUCCGCCACACUGGGACUGAGACACGGCCCAGACUCCUACGGGAGGCAGCAGUGGGGAAUUUUGGACAAUGGGCGCAAGCCUGAUCCAGCCAUGCCGCGUGUCUGAAGAAGGCCUUCGGGUUGUAAAGGACUUUUGUCAGGGAAGAAAAGCUUGAGGCUAAUACCCUUGAGUGAUGACGGUACCUGAAGAAUAAGCACCGGCUAACUACGUGCCAGCAGCCGCGGUAAUACGUAGGGUGCGAGCGUUAAUCGGAAUUACUGGGCGUAAAGCGGGCGCAGACGGUUACUUAAGUCAGAUGUGAAAUCCCCGGGCUCAACCUGGGAACUGCGUNUUGAAACUGGGUAGCUAGAGUAUGU